rnacentral:rRNA from 1 species
CCUACGUGAGGCAGCAGUGAGGAAUAUUGGUCAAUGGGCGCGAGCCUGAACCAGCCAAGUAGCGUGAAGGAUGAGUGCCCUACGGGUUGUAAACUUCUUUUAUAAAGGAAUAAAGUGCGGCACGUGUGCCUUUUUGUAUGUACUUUAUGAAUAAGGAUCGGCUAACUCCGUGCCAGCAGCCGCGGUAAUACGGAGGAUCCGAGCGUUAUCCGGAUUUAUUGGGUUUAAAGGGAGCGUAGGGGGGUUGUUAAGUCAGUGGUGAAAGUUUGCGGCUCAACCGUAAAAUUGCAGUUGAUACUGGCAGGCUUGAGUACAGUUGAGGCAGGCGGAAUGCGUGGUGUAGCGGUGAAAUGCUUAGAUAUCACGCAGAACUCCGAUUGCGAAGGCAGCUUACUAAGCUGUGACUGACACUGAUGCUCGAAAGUGUGGGUAUCAAACAGGAUUAGAUACCCCUGUAGUC